rnacentral:rRNA from 1 species
GAUGAACGCUGGCGGCGUGCCUAAUACAUGCAAGUCGAGCGAACGGACGAUAAGCUUGCUUCUCUGAUGUUAGCGGCGGACGGGUGAGUAACACGUGGAUAACCUACCUAUAAGACUGGGAUAACUUCGUGAAACCGUAGCUAAUACCGGAUAAUAUUUUGAACCGCAUGGUUCAAAAGUGAAAGACGGUCUUGCUGUCACUUAUAGAUGGAUCCGCGCUGCAUUAGCUAGUUGGUAAGGUAACGGCUUACCAAGGCAACGAUGCAUAGCCGACCUGAGAGGGUGAUCGGCCACACUGGAACUGAGACACGGUCCAGACUCCUACGGGAGGCAGCAGUAGGGAAUCUUCCGCAAUGGGCGAAAGCCUGACGGAGCAACGCCGCGUGAGUGAUGAAGGUCUUCGGAUCGUAAAACUCUGUUAUUAGGGAAGAACAUAUGUGUAAGUAACUGUGCACAUCUUGACGGUACCUAAUCAGAAAGCCACGGCUAACUACGUG